rnacentral:rRNA from 1 species
GACGAACGCUGGCGGCGUGCUUAACACAUGCAAGUCGAACGGAAAGGCCCUGCUUUUGUGGGGUGCUCGUGUGGCGAACGGGUGAGUAACACGUGAGUAACCUGCCCUUGACUUUGGGAUAACUUCAGGAAACUGGGGCUAAUACCGGGUAGGAGCUCCUGCUGCAUGGUGGGGGUUGGAAAGUUUCGGCGGUUGGGGAUGGACUCGCGGCUUAUCAGCUUGUUGGUGGGGUAGUGGUUUACCAAGGCUUUGACGGGUAGCCGGCCUGGGAGGGUGACCGGCGACAAUAGUACUGAGAGACGGCCCAGAAUCCAACCGGACGCAGCAGUGGGGAGUAUGACACAAUGGGCGGAAGCCUGAUGCAGCAACGCCGCGUGCGGGAUGACGGCCUUCGGGGUAUAAACCGCUGUCGCCUGUGACGAAGCGUGAGUGACGGUAAUGGGUAAAGAAGCACCGGCUAACUACGUG